GAUUGCACCAACAACCACCUCUCUGCAAUCGCGGCUG
rfam:Prevotella sp. CAG:279 genomic scaffold, scf33